GAGUUAACGCUGAAACCUGUGCUGGUAGGGACAUCUAAGAGCACUGAUGAGCUGGGGGUUUAGCUC
rnacentral:snoRNA from 1 species